ACUGAAAAUGACAAGAUCCUGCAGAUGUCAGAUGAAAUACAUUUGUCCUGUGAAUUGAGAUGUGAUUUCCUGGCUGUGAGAGACAGAGCUACCGUGAAUCUGCAGCUGCAGAUGUCUAUUUCAUCUGGAAGAAGUCUCCAGAGUUGAACUGCACAAUGGUGCAAAAUAUCAACCCAGCUUUAAAUGGCUUCAGCCAGAAGGAAAUUACAGACACAUUUGCAUUCAGCA
rnacentral:lncRNA from 1 species